UUUACUUGUGCAGGGUCUCCUCUCCGCAGACAUUGUGUUUAAAGCUCUGAAGGACUGCGCGGCCUCAGAUCCAACGAGGCUGCGACGUACGUGAGGCGCCUCAGCACGGUAUCGUGCACGGUAAGUCUGGGCCGCAAGCAUAGGGUUUUGACUGCUGUUCGCGCUUAAAUGCAACCGUUAGUCGUUGGAAUCCGCAUGUUUAACCGUGUCAUCUUUACUUGUGCAGGGUCUCCUCUCCGCAGACAUUGUGUUUAAAGCUCUGAAGGACUGCGCGGCCUCACAUCCAACGAGGCUGCGACGUACGUGAGGCGCCUCAGCACGGUAUCGUGCACGGUAAGUCUGGGCCGCAAGCAUAGGGUUUUGACUGCUGUUCGCGCUUAAAUGCAACCGUUAGUCGUUGGAAUCCGCAUGUUUAACCGUGUCAUCUUUACUUGUGCAGGGUCUCCUCUCCGCAGACAUUGUGUUUAAAGCUCUGAAGGACUGCGCGGCCUCAGAUCCAACGAGGCUGCGACGUACGUGAGGCGCCUCAGCACGGUAUCGUGCACGGUAAGUCUGGGCCGCAAGCAUAGGGUUUUGACUGCUGUUCGCGCUUAAAUGCAACCGUUAGUCGUUGGAAUCCGCAUGUUUAACCGUGUCAUCUUUACUUGUGCAGGGUCUCCUCUCCGCAGACAUUGUGUUUAAAGCUCUGAAGGACUGCGCGGCCUCACAUCCAACGAGGCUGCGACGUACGUGAGGCGCCUCAGCACGGUAUCGUGCACGGUAAGUCUGGGCCGCAAGCAUAGGGUUUUGACUGCUGUUCGCGCUUAAAUGCAACCGUUAGUCGUUGGAAUCCGCAUGUUUAACCGUGUCAUCUUUACUUGUGCAGGGUCUCCUCUCCGCAGACAUUGUGUUUAAAGCUCUGAAGGACUGCGCGGCCUCACAUCCAACGAGGCUGCGACGUACGUGAGGCGCCUCAGCACGGUAUCGUGCACGGUAAGUCUGGGCCGCAAGCAUAGGGUUUUGACUGCUGUUCGCGCUUAAAUGCAACCGUUAGUCGUUGGAAUCCGCAUGUUUAACCGUGUCAUCUUUACUUGUGCAG
rnacentral:lncRNA from 1 species